UCUCUCUUCCAACAGAAAAGCUUCCUUGUGCAAAAAUAAUCAAGCCAAUCCAGAAGCCAUGAAUUCCUCCCCCAGGACUGAAGGAUGAAUUUGCAUGAGUCCAUCACACUUUCUGCCCUUUAAACAAGGACAGGGAUUGGCAAAAGGAUGAGACAUGAUAAUUUAAUGCCAUCGGAUAUGGAAAAUGCCUUGACUUCCCAAGAGAUGAAGUCCAUUUCUUCAUCUAUGCUCUAGCCAUUGAUAAUCCACCCAGUCUGCACUCAUGAGUCAUCUUUGUUCUUAAAGACAAUCCCAAACCUAUUGAUUUAUUAUUGACAACAACUCAAUCUAUGCUUGUGCAAAACAAAACAAAACAAAAAAAACAAAAAAAAAC
rnacentral:lncRNA from 1 species